rnacentral:tRNA from 2 species
GCAGUCGUGGCCGAGUAGUUAAAGUGAUGGACUAGAAAUCCAUUCUCCCGCACAGGUUCGAAUCCUGUCGACUGCG